rnacentral:rRNA from 1 species
UUAUGGCUCAGGAUGAACGCUAGCGGCAGGCUUAACACAUGCAAGUCGAGGGGCGAACGCGAGUAGCAAUACUUGGCGGCGACCGGCGCAAGGGUGCGUAACGCGUGAGCAACAUGCCCGUAUCAGGGGGAUAAUCCAGGGAAACUUGGUCUAAUACCCCAUAGUAAUUUUGUAAGGCAUCUUAUAAGAUUUAAAGCUUUGGUGGAUACGGAUUGGCUCGCGUGACAUUAGCUGGAUGGUAAGGUAACGGCUUACCAUGGCUAUGAUGUCUAGGGGUUCUGAGAGGAAGGUCCCCCACACUGGAACUGAGACACGGUCCAGACUCCUACGGGAGGCAGCAGUGAGGAAUAUUGGACAAUGGAUGGAAAUCUGAUCCAGCCAUGCCGCGUGAAGGAAGAAGGUCCUAUGGAUUGUAAACUUCUUUUGUAUGGGAGCAAUAAGGCCUACGUGUAGGUUGAUGAGAGUACCAUACGAAUAAGCACCGGCUAACUCCGUGCCAGCCGCGGC